rnacentral:rRNA from 1 species
GACGAACGCUGGCGGCGUGCCUAAUACAUGCAAGUAGGACGCAGUUGCGAACGGGUGAGUAACGCGUAGGUAACUACCUAUUAGAGGGGGAUAACUACUGGAAACGAUAGCGAAUACCGCAUACUAGUAGAUGGACCUGCGUUGUAUUAGCUAGUAGGUCGGGUAAUGGCCUACCUAGGCAACGAUACAUAGCCGACCUGGUGGGGUGAUCGGCCACAAUGGGACUUGGAACCGGCCCCGAACUCUAAGGGAGGGAGCAGUAGGGAAUCUUUGGAAAAUGGGGGAAACCUGACCGAGCAACGCCGCGGGAGUGAAGAAGGGUUUCGGGUCGGAAAGGUCUGUUGUUAAGGAAGCGGUACUUAACCAGAAAGGGACGGCUAACUACGUGCCAGCAGCCGCGGUAAUUC